rnacentral:tRNA from 1 species
CCCCCUAUCGCUUAAGUGAUAGAGCACCCGCUUAGUAAAGCGGAAGGUCGGUAGUUCAAUCCUGCCUGGGGGCA